UUGCUGUAGACUGAAGAUAUUUUUGCUUGAGAUCAAAAGAUGAAUAUGAGAAGAGAGUUUAGAAUUUCAGCUUUUAUUUCCUAGUAUUUAUGUGCAUAUUUAUAUUUAUGAUGUGUUGAAUGACAUAGAACAUGGCAUUUUGUAUCCGGCCACCCAAUUUGUAGGUGAGCAUAGUAUAGCUCUGAACCAUCUCCUCUUGGAUUUAGCCUUCAGUUUCACCUGUGAAGACUGCAUUUGUUGUUAAAAUGGAUAAGCCAACAUGUAGAUCAGACAGCUGUCUAUGGGAGAAAAGCAAGCCAUUUUGAAGCUGAGAAAAGAGGGAAAAUCAAUCAGAGACAUUGCACAAUGUCCUGAAGAAGGAAGCAACCACUUGGAAACAACAGUUCAUGACACAGACAUUGUGAGAGCUGUGAAGAAAACCCCAAAAACUACAUCACCAACAACCUCCACAGGGCAGGGAUGAAGGUAUCACAAUCCACCGUUCGAAGAAUACUUAGAGAGCAGAAAUAUAGAGGCCAUACCACAAGAUGCAUACCACUCCUCGUCAGUAAAAAUCAGAAAGCCAGAUUGGAAUUCGCAAAGAAAUACGGAGAUGAGCAAGUUAUGGCAUGUCACGAGCCUUUCAUAACAAACAGAGAUUAUUUGUUCAAAUUGUGUGAAAAUUAUUCAGCGACGUCAUGGAUGACAAGUAAAAUUACUGUAGGAAUAGCUAGUUGUGUCUUUGUCACUUUAAGGAAAAUAGAAAAAUGGUCCACUCAAGCUUUUUAUACAUUUUCUAUCCCAUAAACCUCAGUGCAGUAUCAUUCCUCAAUCACAAGGCCUUCUUUUCCCCUUUAUUAGACAUCUGAAUGUAAAUAUAUAUGAAAACCUCUUCAAAUACUGGACUGCUCUUAUAAAGCUUUAAAAUGAUGAUCUUGUCUUUUUAAUAUUCAUAACCAACUGCUCUCGAUUGACGAACUCCAUAAAAUAUUUGAACAUUUUAGCACACUUCAAACCCCAUUGCUUUUAUACUGUUUUGAAGAGACUGUUCUUACUGUUUU
ensembl:lncRNA